rnacentral:rRNA from 1 species
GACGAACGCUGGCGGCGUGCCUAACACAUGCAAGUCGAACGGAGCGAAUGAAAGCUUGCUUUUAUGAGCUUAGUGGCAAACGGGUGAGUAACACGUAGGCAACCUGCCGACAGGAUGGGGACAACAUUCCGAAAGGAAUGCUAAUACCGAAUGAAGUCAGAGAAGGGCAUCCUUUUCUGAUGAAAGAUGGCCUCUAUUUAUAAGCUAUCACCUGUCGAUGGGCCUGCGUCUGAUUAGCUGGUUGGUGAGGUAACGGCUCACCAAGGCGACGAUCAGUAGCCGGUCUGAGAGGAUGAACGGCCACAUUGGGACUGAGACACGGCCCAGACUCCUACGGGAGGCAGCAGUGGGGAAUCUUCCGCAAUGGGCGCAAGCCUGACGGAGCAACGCCGCGUGAGUGAAGAAGGUCUUCGGAUCGUAAAGCUCUGUUGACGGGGGCGAACGUGCGGAGUGCGAAUAGCG